rnacentral:rRNA from 1 species
AGUGAACGCUGGCGGUAGGCCUAACACAUGCAAGUCGAACGGCAGCACAGUAAGAGCUUGCUCUUACGGGUGGCGAGUGGCGGACGGGUGAGGAAUACAUCGGAAUCUACUUUUUCGUGGGGGAUAACGUAGGGAAACUUACGCUAAUACCGCAUACGACCUACGGGUGAAAGCAGGGGAUCUUCGGACCUUGCGCGAUUGAAUGAGCCGAUGUCGGAUUAGCUAGUUGGCGGGGUAAAGGCCCACCAAGGCGACGAUCCGUAGCUGGUCUGAGAGGAUGAUCAGCCACAGAGGAGCUGAGACACGGUCCAGACUCCGACGGGAGGCAGAGGUGGGGAAUAUUGGACAGUGGGCGCAAGCCUGAACCAGGCGUACCGCGUGGGUGAAGAAGGCCUUCGGGUUGUAAAGCCCUUUUGUUGGGAAAGAAAAGCAGCAGGUUAAUACCCCGCUGUUCUGACGGUACCCAAAGAAUAAGCACCGGCUAACUUCGU